CCCUAAUCCCUCGUCUAUAUAAGACUGAAGUUCUCUUCACAAUAUCAUUAACCCGAUCCUUAUAUUUCAUUCUCUCAACUAUAGGAAUGGGUGAAAAAAUGAGGUUUCUGGUUCUUGUUUUGGCAAUAUCAAUGCUGGUGGCGAGAUCUUGCUCGGCUGCAAAUAAGCUGAAGCUCGAAGAUGCCGCCAUCGUUAAUGGCCGUCGGUUGCUUGAUGACAGUUCAGAAAAACACGACUCUCCGCCGAGCAGUGUCGACAACCACCAUUACAUUAAAAGGAAGGAUUUCGGCAAAUAUGAGAAUGGGGGAGAUGGACGUGGGUAAAUUAAUUAAUGACAACAUAAAUAAUUAUCGAUUGUUAAUAAAUAAUAAUUUUACUCUAUGUUUAAUAUAUUAUAAAUAAUCGGCUUAUGUAUUGUAGUGUGUUCCUUUGUACGAUUGUUUCUGGUUUUAGUGUUUUAUAUAUAUAAAUAUAUGUUGUUGUUAUGUGUAUGAACGAUAUAAAGAUAAUUUGCAUGCAUGCAUGGCCAGCUCCAUUGCAUGUUCCUUUGUAA